rnacentral:lncRNA from 1 species
CUUUUUGCACAUGUUAUCAGAAUUGUGACACCCCCUUUUUUCAUUCAGUUAUACAAGUUUGUCGUAAAUAUGAACACGGUUUAAUUGUCAAUAGCAAAGAACAUAAGUUAUGUACAUCAACCUAUCAUGACUAUUAUUCUCUUCUUUGUCAAGCUAGCUUAAACUCUGUUGAUAUAUGUAACCUCAUACCAAAUUUAAAAAGUAUAAAAUUAUCGAAUACAAUCUGUUUUACAAACUUUGGAGCCAUGUUAUAUACCAAAAUGUUAUAUUAAAUUGUAAAAAAA